CGGCCCCGCGCCCGCCGGGCCGAGGCGGCGGCGCUUUACUCACCGAACAAGGAGGACGCUUUGGGCCCGGCUCCAGCAGCCCUCAGGGAACAGCAGCAGCUUUUGGAAGGACUUCUCCAUCAGGCUCACACCCAGAGCCCUCAGGGGCGCUGGCACGGAGCGUGCCCGGACACAUCUGUCCCAUCCUACCCAGGGCAGCUCUGGCUUCGCAAGGACUGACAGCCUCAGCACAGCGGGAACAAAUCAAACGUGCAAAGCAGAAAAAAAACAUCAGCCCGAAAUUCACCGGGCGAAGGUCCCUGCCACCACAUCCUGCUUUUGAAUGGGUCUGAUAUCCUCACGGAGAUUUCUCUUCAUAACAACAUUAUCUUAAAAUUACGUAAUGCCUUAUCAAGCCAGCACAUCUUAUGCACAAGCGAUAACAAUGAUUUUACUACAACUCUGGGAAUCUCAUUAGGAACGAGCUGGAGCUCCCCGAGCACCAGCUCCCCGAGCACAGCGACCACGGGAGGAAAUGCAGAUGCUCGGGAGAGCCGGACACAGCUCCCACCUGGCCCUGCCCCUCCCAGCGAGCCCAGCUCUUAGGUUUGCUCUGCGGCAGGGGAGGGAACAAAAGAGAAUCCCGCUGUGCACGACCUUGGUUUAAGUGGCAGCAAGGAUGAGCUUGGUGUUUUGUUCCCCUGGAGCCCUUGAGAAGCCCUCCCUCCUUGUUAGCAUCACAUUGUGUAGCAAAGGUGCUACUGUGUUUGACACCUGGUAGGAAUAUUUGUGGGUGAAUUUACAAAGUGUACCUCAAGGACAAAAGCUCCAGAAGAGAAAUACCACGUAUAACAUGCUGUUUUCUGGCCUUCUCAUUGUCCCUCAGAGGUUUCUUGCCUCAUCUUUCAAACCUCAACGUUCUUCAGAGACUGCAGUCUGUUACUACAGCUUCAUUAUUCAUGUAAAAUAUCAUCACUGGGGUUUGGGGUGGGUUUUUUUAUUUUAUUUUAUUUUAUUUUGGCUCCUUUCCUUUUUCUGUCUUGCUCUGGGUGCUGAGCACCCUGGGACCAGUGGCGCAUUUUCCAGUGGCUUUUCUGUGAUCCAUCACCUUGUCUGAGACUCUGGUACAAAAUUGCUUCUAAUUACUUGACAUUUAUUCUUCAAACCUUAACUAAUUCACUAAUCAUAUAGUGAUAAACGAGAUUUUAAAAUUAAUCACUGACAUUUUUAAAGAUUUAUACACAACUGUAAAAACAGGUUCCCAGCUAGUAAAUAUAAUGUUGUGUGAAGGAAAUAAACCCCAACCCACCAUAAAUUAAAGCUGUCCUGUAUUAAUGGGAAGCAGUAAAAGUGAAGACAUGGUGAGAUGUUACCUGAUGAAUAGGGGUAGCAUCUUAUCACAGUUAGUGUCUUCCUGCUACAGAUCCCUUGACAGCAGGAAAACAGCAUUUGUAGAAGCCUUGUCAUGCGCAGAAUUUAAUUGAGCCUUUAAUGUGCAAUUGCUGGAAGUUUGUGGGGCAGGCAGGGAAGUGGCCAAGGGCUGCCUUACCAAGCAGGUUUGUAGCUCACAGUAUUUGCAAUGAAACAUUUACUCCUUGCAAAACAGCAAGGCAGAUUUCUACCUCUUGUUCAGUAAGAUAAAUUCAAUUAUUUUAGCUAAUUUAAAAGUCAUCAAUAAAAAGUUUGAAGGCUGACCAGCCAGCUUCUAGUUAUAAUUAAUAUUUUUACAGAUGACAGCUAUUUGAAUAUAACAUCAAGCCUGUUACCAAACCCAGAACAGCCAUUGCACAUUACCAGUAUUUUGGAUAAUCUUUCUCCCUUUGAAGAGAGAACUGCCAUUUGAGCCUGUCUUUUGGAUGCUGCUGUUCAUUAUUAAUGGCAAAGUAAUUUAAACCCAAUAUUACCAAGCACUGUACAGGCAUAGAGAGAGAGAGAAUCCUGCAUUAACUUCAGCAGCUAUGAACAAGAUUUGCAAAUCAGACAUAAUCACAUUUAGCAUCCUAUCCUGAUCCACAGGACUUGCACUAUGUCCCACAACAGCUUGGAGCAGUUUGAUACACAGUGCAUGGUGUACAUCAGUGAAAUAAAAAAUGGGCUUAACACA